rfam:Homo sapiens chromosome 16, GRCh38 reference primary assembly.
GCCGGGCGCGGUGGCUCGUGCCUGUAAUCCCAGCACUGUGGGAGGCUGAGGCAGGUGAUCACCUGAGGUCAGGAAUUCGAGACCAGCCUGACCAAUAUGGUGAAAACCUGUCUCUA